rnacentral:misc_RNA from 1 species
CAGAGUAGCGGUGCCCUCGGGUACCUACUCCCACCCUUUGUGAACCUAAUUCUGUUGCUUUGGCGGGCCGGGUGCUCGCGCGCCGCCGGCCCCGGCUGGAGAGCGCCCGCCAGAGGACCACUUAACCCUGCUCACGGUGACGUCUGAGUAUUUUACAAAUGAAUCA